AAAAAAAAUAACAUGUAGGAGAAUCGUCUGCCUCCUUCAGCAAUUUUCUAUGCUGGCACUCUAUGAGAUGAUGCCUUUUUCAAGUUCUGUUUGAAUCAAAGUGAGAGUAAAAGUUUUUUCAAAUAUUUUCUGCCAUUUGAAAGAGAAAUAAAGAACAGAGCCAUCUUUGCUUCAGGGAAGAUCAGUUAUCUUAGAGAAGAGUACUAUGAACGUCCCUAGGCUGUCUUCAUACACAGAGGAUGAAGUAUAUAAAGUCUGGACUGCCCUCCAGCCGCAAAGUCUGAAAUUGGCAAAAGGCACAUCCACUGUUUUAUUUCCUUAAUACUUUACUCAGUCAAAGAAAACUUUUAGGAAAGCAAUGCUAUAAGAUGGUACGUGUCACUAAGAAUGUAUUGUGUGCUAGUCUCCUAAGACUAUUUGAACAUUAUUUUGUGUCUAAUUUGGGAAUAAAAUAUUUCAUUGCUGUGGAACA
rnacentral:lncRNA from 1 species